AAUCAACGCUGGCGGCGUGCCUAACACAUGCAAGUCGAACGCGAAAGUUCCGCAAGGGAUAAGUAGAGUGGCAAACGGGUGAGUAACACGUGGGUGACCUGCCUUCGAGUGGGGGAUAACGUCCCGAAAGGGACGCUAAUACCGCAUGACAUCCUGCCUUUGAAGAGGUGGAGAUCAAAGCUGGGGAUCGCAAGACCUAGCGCUUGAAGAGGGGCCCGCGCCUGAUAGCUAGUUGGUGAGGUAACGGCUCACCAAGGCUCCGAUCGGUAUCCGGCCUGAGAGGGCGGACGGACACACUGGAACUGAGACACGGUCCAGACUCCUACGGGAGGCAGCAGUGGGGAAUUGUUCGCAAUGGGCGCAAGCCUGACGACGCAACGCCGCGUGGAGGAUGAAGACUUUC
rnacentral:rRNA from 1 species